UCAUCUCCGGGGGUAGAGCACUGUUUCGGCAAGGGGGUCAUCCCGACUUACCAACCCGAUGCAAACUGCGAAUACCGGAGAAUGUUAUCACGGGAGACACACGGCGGGUGCUAACGUCCGUCGUGAAGAGGGAAACAACCCAGACCGCCAGCUAAGGUCCCAAAGUCAUGGUUAAGUGGGAAACGAUGUGGGAAGGCCCAGACAGCCAGGAUGUUGGCUUAGAAGCAGCCAUCAUUUAAAGAAAGCGUAAUAGCUCACUGGUCGAGUCGGCCUGCGCGGAAGAUGUAACGGGGCUAAACCAUGCACCGAAGCUGCGGCAGCGACGCUGAUGCGUUGUUGGGUAGGGGAGCGUUCUGUAAGCCUGCGAAGGUGUGCUGUGAGGCAUGCUGGAGGUAUCAGAAGUGCGAAUGCUGACAUAAGUAACGAUAAAGCGGGUGAAAAGCCCGCUCGCCGGAAGACCAAGGGUUCCUGUCCAACGUUAAUCGGGGCAGGGUGAGUCGACCCCUAAGGCGAGGCCGAAAGGCGUAGUCGAUGGGAAACAGGUUAAUAUUCCUGUACUUGGUGUUACUGCGAAGGGGGGACGGAGAAGGCUAUGUUGGCCGGGCGACGGUUGUCCCGGUUUAAGCGUGUAGGCUGGUUUUCCAGGCAAAUCCGGAAAAUCAAGGCUGAGGCGUGAUGACGAGGCACUACGGUGCUGAAGCAACAAAUGCCCUGCUUCCAGGAAAAGCCUCUAAGCAUCAGGUAACAUCAAAUCGUACCCCAAACCGACACAGGUGGUCAGGUAGAGAAUACCAAGGCGCUUGAGAGAACUCGGGUGAAGGAACUAGGCAAAAUGGUGCCGUAACUUCGGGAGAAGGCACGCUGAUAUGUAGGUGAGGUCCCUCGCGGAUGGAGCUGAAAUCAGUCGAAGAUACCAGCUGGCUGCAACUGUUUAUUAAAAACACAGCACUGUGCAAACACGAAAGUGGACGUAUACGGUGUGACGCCUGCCCGGUGCCGGAAGGUUAAUUGAUGGGGUCAGCGCAAGCGAAGCUCUUGAUCGAAGCCCCGGUAAACGGCGGCCGUAACUAUAACGGUCCUAAGGUAGCGAAAUUCCUUGUCGGGUAAGUUCCGACCUGCACGAAUGGCGUAAUGAUGGCCAGGCUGUCUCCACCCGAGACUCAGUGAAAUUGAACUCGCUGUGAAGAUGCAGUGUACCCGCGGCAAGACGGAAAGACCCCGUGAACCUUUACUAUAGCUUGACACUGAACAUUGAGCCUUGAUGUGUAGGAUAGGUGGGAGGCUUUGAAGUGUGGACGCCAGUCUGCAUGGAGCCGACCUUGAAAUACCACCCUUUAAUGUUUGAUGUUCUAACGUUGACCCGUAAUCCGGGUUGCGGACAGUGUCUGGUGGGUAGUUUGACUGGGGCGGUCUCCUCCUAAAGAGUAACGGAGGAGCACGAAGGUUGGCUAAUCCUGGUCGGACAUCAGGAGGUUAGUGCAAUGGCAUAAGCCAGCUUGACUGCGAGCGUGACGGCGCGAGCAGGUGCGAAAGCAGGUCAUAGUGAUCCGGUGGUUCUGAAUGGAAGGGCCAUCGCUCAACGGAUAAAAGGUACUCCGGGGAUAACAGGCUGAUACCGCCCAAGAGUUCAUAUCGACGGCGGUGUUUGGCACCUCGAUGUCGGCUCAUCACAUCCUGGGGCUGAAGUAGGUCCCAAGGGUAUGGCUGUUCGCCAUUUAAAGUGGUACGCGAGCUGGGUUUAGAACGUCGUGAGACAGUUCGGUCCCUAUCUGCCGUGGGCGCUGGAGAACUGAGGGGGGCUGCUCCUAGUACGAGAGGACCGGAGUGGACGCAUCACUGGUGUUCGGGUUGUCAUGCCAAUGGCACUGCCCGGUAGCUAAAUGCGGAAGAGAUAAGUGCUGAAAGCAUCUAAGCACGAAACUUGCCCCGAGAUGAGUUCUCCCUGACCCUUUAAGGGUCCUGAAGGAACGUUGAAGACGACGACGUUGAUAGGCCGGGUGUGUAAGCGCAGCGAUGCGUUGAGCUAACCGGUACUAAUGAACCGUGAG
rnacentral:rRNA from 1 species